rnacentral:rRNA from 1 species
GACGAACGCUGGCGGCGUGCUUAACACAUGCAAGUCGAACGGAAAGGCCCUGCUUUUGUGGGGUGCUCGAGUGGCGAACGGGUGAGUAACACGUGAGUAACCUGCCCUUGACUUUGGGAUAACUUCAGGAAAAUGGGGCUAAUACCGGAUAGGAGCUCCUGCUGCAUGGUGGGGGUUGGAAAGUUUCGGCGGUUGGGGAUGGACUCGCGGCUUAUCAGCUUGUUGGUGGGGUAAUAGCUUACCAACGGUAUGACGGAUCGCCGGCAGGAUUAGAUGACCUGCCCUGUGUGGACUAAGUGGCGGCCCAGACCCAGUAGGGAGGGAGUGACAGCGCAUAUAGCAGGAUGGGCAGAUGCCUGGUGCAGCAACGCGGCAUGCGGAAUGACGACUUUCGGCUUUUAUGCCGCUUCCGCCGGUGACGAAGCGGGAGUGACGGUAAUGGGUAGAGAAGCACCGGCUAACUACAUA